GAUGAACGCUGGCGGCGUGCCUAAUACAUGCAAGUCGAGCGAACAGACGAGGAGCUUGCUCCUCUGACGUUAGCGGCGGACGGGUGAGUAACACGUGGAUAACCUACCUAUAAGACUGGGAUAACCUCGGGAAACCGGAGCUAAUACCGGAUAAUAUAUUGAACCGCAUGGUUCGAUAGUGACAGACGGUUUUGCUGUCACUUAUAGAUGGAUCCGCGCCGCAUUAGCUAGUUGGUAAGGUAACGGCUUACCCAGGCAACGAUGCGUAGCCGACCUGAGAGGGUGAUCGGCCACCCUGGAACUGAGACACGGUCCAGACUCCUACGGGAGGCAGCAGUAGGGAAUCUGCCGCAAUGGGCGAAAGCCUGACGGAGCAACGCCGCGUGAGUGAUGAAGGUCUUCGGAUCGUAAAACUCUGUUAUUAGGGAAGAACAGAUGUGUAAUUAGCUAUGCACGUCUUGACGGUACCUAAUCAGAAAGCCACGGCUAACUACGUG
rnacentral:rRNA from 1 species